rnacentral:rRNA from 1 species
ACAGGGAGACAGGUGGUGCAUGGUUGUCGUCAGCUCGUGUCGUGAGAUGUUGGGUUAAGUCCCGGCAACCGAGCGCAACCCUACGUUUAGUUGCUAACGCGUGAAGGCGAGCACUCGUAGACGAACUGCCGUUAGACAAAACGGAGGAAGGUGGGGAUGACGUCAAAUCAUCAUGCCCCUUAUGUUCUGGGCUACACACGUGCUACAAUGGCCGGUACAGACGGAGGCGAAGCCGCGAGGCGGGAGCAAAUCCGAAAAAAGCCGGUCUCAGUUCGGAUUGCAGGCUGCAAUUCGCCUGCAUGAAGUCGGAAUCGCUAGUAAUCGCAGGUCAGCAUACUGCGGUCGAAUACGUUCCCGGGCCUU